rnacentral:lncRNA from 7 species
ACACAGUUACUUUUAGCUGGCCGAGUGUCUUUGCUUUUUGCUGCUGCUUUUUGCAAUCUGGUUACAUUACAGGGAGUUGAGAGGAAACACAUAGGCCAUGUUUACAUCCUGAACUGGAUACUGUAUGCCUCUGAAAGUUGUAAUAUGAAAAUCACUGCCCAAGAGAUUGAGCACUAAUUCUCAAGAUUAUUUCAGUGACAGUGUGUUCACAGUGAAGAUUUGCCUGUUUGCUUUCUACUGGGAGAAAAACAAAGCUUUACAACAAAAUUAAGCACUUGUGUAGCAAAGAUGAGACUGAAGACAUAAUACUAGUGUUUGGCUAUGUCCUGGACAACUUCUUUACCUGAAUUUGCUCUUCAACUUAAGCUCACUGGCUGUUUGAAGCUUCAGCUGGUUUACCGGCAGUGUUAGAACUGGGAACCACAGAGCACCGAUACAGCUACAUUUUUAACCAUUUUCAGUUACAUUUCCAACGGCCACAGCCGUGCUGGCAGCAGGUGGUACUGGAGGCAGCAGAGGUUUAAGCAGAAAAAGUGUAUGUAUUUCCAUCUCAGUGAGCAGAGAGCCUACACCAGGUGAGGAGGCAGCCAGGUUGGCCUUGGUGAGGCAGAAUUCCCUGCUUUUGAGGAGGUGGCUGAUGUGCGGCCCUGAGGAUCCGCCCUCCUUCUCUGUGGAUUUUGCACACCAAAUUCACCCAAGUGGCAAGCUUGUGGUGGGGGAAGUGAGAGGGGAGGACAUUUGUAGGGAUACAUGAAUUUGUGGAAGAUAUUUUGUCAUUUUUAGCAUUGUUCUGAACUGUAUUCCAUGUAAGACAGAAGCCACUGGCUAAGGCCGUGUCAGUUACCAGAGACUGGUCAAGUUCAAGAGGGGAAAAGAGUUUUUGUCAAUGUGCCCAUAUUGAUUUUCUGCUUUAGUGAAUGCCUGGAAGAGAAAAUCUGAUCAUUCAAUGCACCAUAGUUAUGCUUUAAAGGUUUCAGAAGAUGAACUGCAAUUGCGUAGUGUGGGGAUUCUUUUGGCUCAUUGUGCUGCUCUUUCUCGGCUGGCCCAUAAGCAUAGCCUUGUGUGCCCUCCAUGGAUUCCUUUCUCCUCUUGCUACUUUAAUUGGACUGGAUGAAUUAAGUGAAGCGCUACUGAAGGGCGCAAGUCUGGGGAGGCAGUGUGCUCAGAAUGUGCGUAAUGGCAAGCCCCUCUGUUAAGCAAUGAAGACAGCCCUGCAUAAAACAAGCAUUCACCUGUAUGCUAGAGGAUUUCAAAGUUUACUCUGUGAAUCUUACAUUUUUUUCCAGUUCUAAAUAAUUUACUAUUUUUAAAAAAGUUUUUCAGUGUGUAUAUUUCUCUUGUGGAUGUCUGGAAACUUUAACAGUUCAGAAGUUUGUUGCUGAGAAUUUACAAUACAGGUUGCAGCUGUUGUUUUGAAAAUGGGUAAUGACACUGUACAUGGAGAAGGUAGCUAAGUAUGUAUUGCAAGAUUGAGCUGAGUGUCAAAGCUGCUUAAAUGGUUGAAAAUACUGCCCUAAGGAGUGUAAUGCACCUUAUGAGUCUGACUAUGACACUUGAAAAGAGUGGAUUCUGAACAGGAAAUUUAUUUUUGUGAAUAUUUUAUUCUACAGUGCACUUUGUUUGACAAAAGAUGUGAAAUUCUUAUCUGAUGUUUGUAUAGCAUGUAUCUUUUCAUUUUUAUGUGUUUCUGUUCUUUCUUUCCUUUAAAAAAGAAAUUAUAGUCAUUUGUACUAUGAUCUCACUUAGUAUUAAUCUCCUGUGAACAGUGGGUUUUCAGUGAAACAAGUUUGCUGAUGUGGGUUCACUGCACUGAUUUUCAAACAUUAGAUAAAUAAAGAACAUCUGUAAAU